rnacentral:rRNA from 1 species
AGGCAACGAGCGAGACCCACGCCCACAGGUUGCCAGCGUACUCUCUGGAGUGACGGGUACACUGUGGGGACCGCCGGCUGCUAAAGCGGAGGAAGGAAUGGGCAACGGUAGGUCAGUAUGCCCCGAAUAUCCCGGGCUACACGCGAGCUACAAUGGUUGGUACAAUGGGUAUCUACCCCGAAAGGGGACGGGAAUCUCCUAAAACCAAUCUUAGUUCGGAUUGAGGGCUGCAACUCGCCCUCAUGAAGCUGGAAUCCGUAGUAAUCGCGUUUCAACAGAACGCGGUGAAUACGUCCCUGCUCCUU